rnacentral:rRNA from 1 species
ACCUGCCGACAACACUGGGAUAGCCUUUCGAAAGAAAGAUUAAUACCGGAUGGCAUAGUUUUCCCGCAUGGGAUAAUUAUUAAAGAAUUUCGGUUGUCGAUGGGGAUGCGUUCCAUUAGGCAGUUGGCGGGGUAACGGCCCACCAAACCAACGAUGGAUAGGGGUUCUGAGAGGAAGGUCCCCCACAUUGGAACUGAGACACGGUCCAAACUCCUACGGGAGGCAGCAGUGAGGAAUAUUGGUCAAUGGACGAGAGUCUGAACCAGCCAAGUAGCGUGAAGGAUGACUGCCCUAUGGGUUGUAAACUUCUUUUAUACGGGAAUAAAGUGAGCCACGUGUGGCUUUUUGUAUGUACCGUAUGAAUAAGGAUCGGCUAACUCCGUGCCAGCAGCCGCGGUAAUACGGAGGAUCCGAGCGUUAUCCGGAUUUAUUGGGUUUAAAGGGAGCGUAGGCGGGUUGUUAAGUCAGUUGUGAAAGUUUGCGGCUCAACCGUAAAAUUGCAGUUGAUACUGGCGACCUUGAGUGCAACAGAGGUAGGCGGAAUUCGUGGUGUAGCGGUGAAAUGCUUAGAUAUCACGAAGAACUCCGAUUGCGAAGGCAGCUUACUGGAUUGUAACUGACGCUGAUGCUCGAAAGUGUGGGUAUCAAACAGGAUUAGAUACCCUGGUAGUCCACACAGUAAACGAUGAAUACUCGCUGUUGGCGAUAUACAGUCAGCGGCCAAG